rnacentral:hammerhead_ribozyme from 1 species
AUCCGGCUAACGUGUCCGAAAUAGGACAAAACGCGCUUCCUGGAU